rnacentral:rRNA from 1 species
GAUGAACGCUAGCGGGAGGCUUAACACAUGCAAGUCGAGGGGCAGCAUAGGGUAGCAAUACUCUGAUGGCGACCGGCAAACGGGUGAGUAACGCGUAUGUAACCUACCCUGUACAGGGGGAUAACCCGGAGAAAUUCGGACUAAUAUCCCAUAACAAUAUCCGGGGGCAUCUUUGGAUAUUUAAAGUUCCGGCGGUACGGGAUGGGCAUGCGUAACAUUAGCUAGUUGGUAAGGUAACGGCUUACCAAGGCUUUGAUGUUUAGGGGUCCUGAGAGGGUGGUCCCCCACACUGGUACUGAGACACGGACCAGACUCCUACGGGAGGCAGCAGUGAGGAAUAUUGGUCAAUGGGCGCAAGCCUGAACCAGCCAUCCCGCGUGCAGGAAGACGGCGCUAUGCGUUGUAAACUGCUUUUUCCAGGGAGAGAAAACUUACGCGACGACGUUGUCGGUCGGACCUAAGUUACGGUACCCGGUUACCCGGUAAGGGUAAAAGUAAGACUACGGUCCGGUAACCUAAACCCGUUCCGGUCCGACCGACGACCGAACGGCCCGGUAACCGGUUAACGUACCUAAUACCUUACCGUUACG